rnacentral:tRNA from 1 species
AUCUAAAUAGUUUAAGGGUAAAAUAUUGGUUUGUGGUGCCGAUGAUAUAUGAUUGUAUUUUAGAUU